rnacentral:rRNA from 1 species
UACGAAGGGGGCUAGCGUUGCUCGGAAUCACUGGGCGUAAAGGGUGCGUAGGCGGGUUUUAAGUCAGGGGUGAAAUCCUGGAGCUCAACUCCAGAACUGCCUUUGAUACUGAAAAUCUUGAGUUCGGGAGAGGUGAGUGGAACUGCGAGUGUAGAGGUGAAAUUCGUAGAUAUUCGCAAGAACACCAGUGGCGAAGGCGGCUCACUGGCCCGAUACUGACGCUGAGGCACGAAAGCGUGGGGAGCAAACAGGG